CACGUAGGGCGCAAGCGUUGUCCGGAAUUAUUGGGCGUAAAGAGCUCGUAGGCGGUCUGUUGCGUCCGCUGUGAAAACUCGGGGCUUAACCCCGAGCCUGCAGUGGAUACGGGCAGACUAGAGGUAGGUAGGGGAGAAUGGAAGUCCCGGUGUAGCGGUGAAAUGCGCAGAUAUCGGGAGGAACACCGGUGGCGAAGGCGGUUCUCUGGGCCUUACCUGACGCUGAGGAGCGAAAGCGUGGGGAGCGAACAGG
rnacentral:rRNA from 1 species